rnacentral:rRNA from 1 species
GGGGGCUAGCGUUGCUCGGAAUCACUGGGCGUAAAGCGCACGUAGGCGGAUUGCUAAGUCAGGGGUGAAAUCCUGGAGCUCAACUCCAGAACUGCCUUUGAUACUGGCAACCUUGAGUCCGGGAGAGGUGAGUGGAACUGCGAGUGUAGAGGUGAAAUUCGUAGAUAUUCGCAAGAACACCAGUGGCGAAGGCGGCUCACUGGCCCGGUACUGACGCUGAGGUGCGAAAGCGUGGGGAGCAAACAGG